rnacentral:rRNA from 1 species
CAGUCGCCACGGUAAUACGAAGGGUGCAAGCGUUAAUCGGAAUUACUGGGCGUAAAGCGUGCGUAGGCGGUUUGUUAAGUCUGCUGUGAAAUCCCCGGGCUCAACCUGGGAAUGGCAGUGGAUACUGGCAAGCUAGAGUGUGUCAGAGGAUGGUGGAAUUCCCGGUGUAGCGGUGAAAUGCGUAGAGAUCGGGAGGAACAUCAGUGGCGAAGGCGGCCAUCUGGGACAACACUGACGCUGAGGCACGAAAGCGUGGGGAGCAAACAGGAUUAGAUACCCGGGUAGUCCCUGUCUCUUAUAC